rnacentral:lncRNA from 10 species
GCGGCCCGCGCCGUCCCCAGCGCCAGCCGCGCGGCCGCGCACCAUUCACCCGGGGGAGAGGCGGAGGAACGUGCGGGUGGGGCAGGGAAGGAAGGCGGCCCCAUCUCCGCCCCCCUUCCCUUCCUUUAUCCCAGUGGGGCCCAGACCCGCGCAACCAGGCGGGGAGGGGAGGUGGGCGCGCGAUUGGGUUGCGAUCUGGAGCAGUGGGGACAGGUCAGGAACCGGCGCGUAUUUCUGCAGUGAGACCACAGGACGGACAUCGGCGCCUUCGGCUUCGAUGGAGUUGCGAUUUUGCUCUUUCCAGGGAAACAGUGGCAGGGUGUUUGCUGCUUAUCGGUUCCUGCGGAUAUGCCUGGGUCCCAGGACAUUCCACUGGAGGCUUGGACUGCAUUUAGGAGCCCCUAUCCCUUCCCUGUCCACACUGUUAGUGAGCAAUUUCAUAUGUUUGCAUUUAGACCCAUAGACUCAGAACGACUCAUCACACACACACACAGUGUACACUGACACACUCACAUUCGCACACUUAGGUAUACAGCCUGAUCCUUGCUCUGACCUGGUAACAACGCUUCCUCCUCCAGAGACUUUGAGAUAGAGCGAGCGAUCCCUGUGCACCAUUCAUCCAUGCUCCCACCUCGCCAGUAUGGCUGGCUUAGUUCUGGAAGGGGCUUAAGAGGAACAAGCCCCAGCUGUGCUUCUGGCUGGGACUUAAACCCCCCUUCUGGGCCCUAAAGCCACGCUUCUUUGUGGACCGGACCUGACUCUCCAGGAAUCUGGGAACCCGCUAUUUCACUCUAUUUUGGGACAAGAAAAAGGGGCUCUUUGGGGCCACUUCCUGCCUUCCCCUCAAGUAGGAUCUCCAGCCUGCAGAGGGUGCCUAGUCCUUCUUUGCCCAAGAACCAGUCCAAGAAGCCUUUCCUCUGUGCCUGGGAAAUGCAACCUUUUCUUGGGAGCAUGGUAGGGUGUUGGUGCUGAAGAACCAAGCAGCGACCCGUCUUGUAGCUGCCAUGUUUUGUCGAGGGGUUCUGGGGGUCCUGCUGCUUUAGAGCCACAUACUUCCACUUCCUGAUUCACUACUGUGAGCUGGUCAGAUGCCUAGAAGAGGAACAAGCGUUCAAAGUGAAAGUGGGCACAUUACCGGAAUAGUGCUGGGGAGAGUGCUGGAUUCUUUUCCACCCCAGGCGGACUGGUGAGAAGCCAGGCUUGGACCUGUCCUCUGCUCCUAGCUUGCACACUCAGCCCUAAACUCAGAGCAGCACGCAUACCACCCCUCACACACACCCCACCAUCUGCUGUCUAAGGCCCCUGGGCUUCCUGCAGGAUCCAGACCAAUGUGGCUGGGCUUGGGCUUUUAUCUGUCCUGAUCCUGGAUUUGUCCUGACCAAUCCCCGAACCCUGCGCGCAGAGAAAGGGUCUCAGCUCCACAGACGACUGGGUCCCUCCUCACCAAAAAUGGUGAGACAAGAUUUCAUCUGUCGGCCGAGGAGCCACAAGCAGGUACCACAAAGCCACUAGUGCACAGGGACUCAGAAAAGACGGCAGGAGCCCAAGGAAAACUCCAAUUUGAGUACAGCCCUGCCUUGUUUCCCCCAGAGAGUCCCUGAGCAAGGAGACCUCCACCCCACACACACCAUUUCAGAACAACCAGGUUCCAGACUCCCAUGAGGAGCAUCUCCCACUGCAGAGCCUUGGCCAGCCGCGCCCGGACUCCUCAGAGCUGGCGCAAACUCCGUCCUCCAAAACUCGGCUCUGGGAGGCCUAAGUGACUCCGAAGCCGGCGGCAGCCGCGGCAGCGGCCGUGGUGGUGGAAGAGCUCUUUUCCCCGACAGUGCCACUGAUCGCUCUUCACUGGAGCUGGAAACAGCCUUCGCGGAAAGGACCGGAGCAUGCGUUAGAAGCAGAGGGAGCUUGGUGAAGGGCUCGGCUGGAAGGAGGAAACGCCUUCUCGCAGUGCGCGGCCAGCCCGCGGGGGACACCGGCUUGCUGGACUGCAGGGGCCCGUGCCACCCAGGAAGUGACCUGCGGGUCACUCAGCCGGGGCGCUGGGCGAGCGCGGGACGGCCCGGAGAAUUCCGUGCGGCUGCGACGGGAAAAGGACGAGGGGUCUCUGUACCCGACGCUGCCACUGGCCCAAAGGAAUUUUACCCGCGAGCGCCCACCCCACCCUAGCUUGAUGCUUACGCCCGCAACAAAACAGGAAACCAGGACUGGGCAGUGCAUUCUUUAAGUCAACAAAUACACUGAAGACUUCGAGCGUUUGAAGGAAGGAGGGGGUUUGCACGUAAGCCUGGCCCCGCCGGGCUCGGCUUUCUCGCUGAGAAAGCGGCGCAGGCAGCCAGGCGGCCUGGGCCCGCGGGGGUCCAUCUCGCCCUAGACUCCUAAGAACUCCCACGGCCCUGUUCCCAGCUGCGAAUUCUUAAUGCACAACGCGACGGAGGGAAGGAAAUUCACCAGCGCAGCGACGAGGAAGGGGAACUCAGGACCCCUUCAAGUACACACUGAGGUGUGAUCAGAGUUUUAUGGGCACUUUAUAUGCUGUAAUCAUAACGAUGUGUGUGCCUUGAUAUGCACGCAUAUUCACGCAUCAAACGUGCAUACACACACAGAGUGAAUGUGCGCAUCCAAUGUCAUGUGGGUGAAAUACAAGCAUCAUACCCAGCCCUACGAAAAAAAAAUUCACCCUGUCGGACCAGGCUGGUGACAUACUUCGCUGGCGCAUCUCCUUACUCACUCUUACUUUUCCGACCCCUCACCAUUCCCUCUCCUGUGGCUUGGUAAAUACACCUGCCCUCCGUGGAAGGUGAGUCCUGGACUGGCGUUGCCAGGUUCGCAUGUCCUCCCCAGAACCUCCGUCUGGCUCCAGGGACUCUCACUGAGCGGGUCUAGAGCACCCAGCACUUUUCAAGGAACAGCCGCGGUUCCUUUGUCCCGCGGCUCCAGCCCCGUUCGGCCCAGCUCUCAGGGAAACGAAGCGCUCAGUAAGAACUUUUGAUAUUAGUUUGUAUGGGUAUUUACACUCUGGUGAGGGGAGCUGAGUACGGAAGUUCCAUUAAUCAUACUCCAACCUUGGGUUUAGAUAUUCAGUUUAUGGGUUGGGAGAGGGAGUUUGCCGGAAAGAAAGCAUCAAGGUUGGCCGCUGACUCCAGAGAAAUGAAAAGGGAGCAAGGUCGUUUUCUGUUUCUGGAAAUCAAGAAUUAGGAAUGGGCAACUACAGGUGCUAACCAACAGACCACUUUUUUGUUUUUUGGUAGCCCUUUGGCAGGGAUAGUUUUUCCACCUUUGCCCGAUACAAUUUAAAAAAAAAAAUCCUUUUAUUAUGGAAUUUGUCAAACACACACACAAGCAUAACAAACCCCUAGGUACCCAUCUCCAAGUUUUGACCCCUAUUAUAAUUUCAUCUUCAGUGUUUUAUUAUCCACUUCCUCUCUCUCUAUCUUUAGUAUUUUAAAGUAAAUCCCAGAUAGCAUCACAUCAUUUCACCCCCACCAUAGGAUUUCAAAGAUCUGUUAUAUUUCAAGAUUGAGUAAAAGGGCUUGAAAUUGGGUUAUUGCAAUGAAACUCUAGAAAAAGCUUGAGGGUUCACCCAGGAGUAAGCUGGACAAAAAAGGGGUUUGAGGGGUGGACCCAUCUUGCCUAAAAAUCUUGUCUCAUCUUUCUAAAAAUUACAUAUGAAAGAGGAAGAUUUAUGUUACUUUUUUAUAUGAGAGAAUCGUCCUUUAAUAGAAAAUUUCUAUUGCUGCAUCAGAAUUAUGGAGGAACACAAAAAACAUACCUCAGUCCUUAGUGUGUCCUAAAUUAACACAUAUUCACUUAUUAGUGGGUAAAUGACUAUAUUUCAUUUCAGCACAACUUCUCCCCUGGUAGAAACACAAAAGAAAUUUCUAAUGAUUAAACUAGGAAAGUUUGCACUGAAUUGAUGGCUUAUCAGAGCAACCGCAGUUUUCAGGAAGAAAUUCAAUGCCAUGCGUUGAAAAUAUCCCCCUAGCAAUAAGGGAUUAUUUUUAAAAAAGAAUGAAUAAAGAUGUUCUGGUUUCUUUUGUUUUAAUCUGGUAGUCUCAUUUACAACGAGCAUGAUUCUCCCUGUCGAACUCUGAAAGUGACUUAACUGAAAGGCUUGGCAACUUCAGAAAGCAAAAAGGUAAAAACAGAAAAUAGCACACGGUUGAAUUUGACAACUUUUACACUACCCGGCUGCUUAAUAAAUUCUAACCCCACUUGUCUGAGUGGAUACUGAUCAUCUUUUCUAUGGCAGUAUUUUGUAUUUGGGUUGUUUAUGGUUUCUUAAUUAAUUUUUUUGAGUAGUGAUUAAAUAUCUGGGAUGCUUUUACACUAAGCAUAUAAAUUCUCAUGGUAUUAGAAAAGAGCUAUUUGAUGAAACUCAUAAGGGGUAUGUAAAUUAAAAAAGAGAAGAAAGUGUGUGUACAUAUUUUACAAUAAUCUCGAACGACUCCAACUAUAUGUUGCAGAAGCCAUGAGCUCUCUGCCCACUGUCUGUGGGGUAUCAGCAAGAUUGACUCCUACCAAGCCUUGGGCACAGUGGUGG